CAGUCAUUUCAGUGUGAUUUCUGUUAGCUCUGUUUUCUGGGUUCUCUUUUGAGAAUGUAUGCAGAAACUGGGCUUUUGUUCCCAUAUUUCCAGAACUUUUCUCAAGAUUUCCAGCAGCUGGAGGAGUUCUGCAGAGGCCAAAAGUCAAAUGCUCCAAUGAAUUGCUUCUCCGAGGCCUCGAUGAUCUCGGAAUAUGACCUGGGAGGAGAAUGGGAUCUGUUCAAGGCUCCAGAGCCUAUCAUCGAAGAACCGGCCAUUGGCCUUGAUCCCAUGACAGCAGUCAUUUCAAUGAUAUCUAGCGGCGAAGAUGUCACCUCCUCUCAAGGACUCAAGGUUGCAGACCUUGAAUCACUUCAAAGCGAGCAGCUUUUGAAUGAUGUCUUCUAUGACAAGGAUCUUUUGGGGAAAGAUGCGAUAGGAGCACCACUUUCUGAGGCCGUAGAUAUCAAAAUUUCUGUUUUGACAGUGGAUGGAAAUCAUAUUCAGGAAAACAAACCGCCUCGCGACGUGUCAUUCCAGAAGAGUGUGAGCUCAGGAUGUUUAACCUCAAUGGACUGGAUGCACGGAACUUCAACGAAGGCAAGUUUUCUGGAUUUUCCUGGAAUGGAUUUGAGUGCUUAUGGGAUUCGUCGGGCAUACAGUGAAGGUGAUAUUAAGGAUGGGACUAGGUCAUUGAUACUGAGUUUUUAUGACAGACUCUCGGUAACAGUAACACAAGCCUCAUCCAGUCCUCCCUAGAGCGGCCCAUAGUUAUCAGCAACUACAGCAGUGAGGAACGCAUGGAAAAGCUUUCAAGAUACCGCAACAAGAAGACAAAGAGGAACUUCGGCAGGAAAAUCAAGUACGCAUGCAGGAAGGCUCUUGCAGACAACCAGCCAAGGAUCCGGGGAAGGUUUGCCAAGACCGAAGAAUCGUAUGCCAAGAGGCUAUAACUGUUAACUUAUACAUAUGAUAAAAUAAUGAACGUAGAAAUGAAGUAGCCAGGUCAACGAUGAUGCGAUGAAAGAGAUGAGAUCAGUAGUAGUAGUAGUGUAGUCAGUUUAGGUAUUGCUCAUCAAUAAACUAGACCCCCUAAAAUCCUCCUCUGCUAGGUGUUUGAUCUCUUAUAUCAUCUGCUGUAAUAACAACAUCUUCUCUAGACCUACGUAUGUACACGGCCAAUCUACGAACGGAUGUAAAUACGUAUGUAUGUGGAAUAAUCGGGCCGGGGAAGCAAACAGUUGUACUUGUUCAUGUUACAUGUUAUAAAAUGGCAAUCUUUUCUA